rnacentral:rRNA from 1 species
GAUGAACGCUGGCGGCGUGCCUAAUACAUGCAAGUCGAGCGAACAGACGAGGAGCUUGCUCCUCUGACGUUAGCGGCGGACGGGUGAGUAACACGUGGAUAACCUACCUAUAAGACUGGGAUAACUUCGUGAAACCGGAGCUAAUACCGGAUAAUAUAUUUAACCGCAUGGUUCAAUAGUGAAAGACGGUUUUGCUGUCACUUAUAGAUGGAUCCGCGCCGCAUUAGCUAGUUGGUAAGGUAACGGCUUACCAAGGCAACGAUGCGUAGCCGACCUGAGAGGGUGAUCGGCCACACUGGAAGUGAGAAACGGUCCAGACUCCUACGGGAGGCAGCAGUAGGGAAUCUUCCGCAAUGGGCGAAAGCCUGACGGAGCAACGCCGCGUGAGUGAUGAAGGUCUUCGGAUCGUAAAACUCUGUUAUUAGGGAAGAACAAAUGUGUAAGUAACUAUGCACGUCUUGACGGUACCUAAUCAGAAAGCCACGGCUAACUACGUG